AGACUCCUACGGGAGGCAGCAGUGGGGAAUAUUGCGCAAUGGACGAAAGCCUGACGCAGCGACGCCGCGUGAGGGAUGACGGCCUUCGGGUUGUAAACCUCUUUCAGUAGGGAAGAAGCGAAAGUGACGGUACCUACAGAAGAAGCACCGGCUAACUAUGUGCCAGCAGCCGCGGUAAUACAUAGGGUGCAAGCGUUGUCCGGAAUUAUUGGGCGUAAAGAGCUCGUAGGUGGUUUGAUACGUCGGAUGUGAAAAUCAGGGGCUCAACCCCUGACCUGCAUUCGAUACGGGCUAACUAGAGUGUGGUAGGGGAGACUGGAAUUCCU
rnacentral:rRNA from 1 species